UUGAAAGAAGUAGUGAAAAAAGAAAAUUUGAAACUGCUUGAUGUUGGUGCCAUAUACCAUAUUUCUGAUAGUACUUGGGUUUCUCCAGUGCAUGCGUCCCUAAAAAAGGUGGAAUGACUGUUGUUAAAAAUGAAAAGGAUGAAUUGAUCCCGACUAGAACUAUAACUGGGUAUAGAUGUGUAUUGAUUAUAGAAAGCUAAAUACUGCAUCUAGGAAAGAUUAUUUUCCUUUACCAUUCAUUGAUCAAAUGCUUGAACUCUUAGCUAAUCACCCAUACUAU
rnacentral:sRNA from 1 species